rnacentral:rRNA from 1 species
GUGGGGAAUCUUCCGCAAUGGACGAAAGUCUGACGGAGCAACGCCGCGUGAGUGAUGAAGGUCUUCGGAUUGUAAAGCUCUGUUAAUCGGGACGGAAGAGCCUAGUGUGAAUAAUGCUAGGAAGUGACGGUACCGGAAUAGAAAGCCACGGCUAACUACGUGCCAGCAGCCGCGGUAAUACGUAGGUGGCAAGCGUUGUCCGGAAUUAUUGGGCGUAAAGCGCGCGCAGGCGGAUCUGCCAGUCUGUCUUAAAAGUUCGGGGCUUAACCCCGUGAUGGGAUGGAAACUACAGAUCUAGAGUAUCGGAGAGGAAAGUGGAAUUCCUAGUGUAGCGGUGAAAUGCGUAGAUAUUAGGAAGAACACCAGUGGCGAAGGCGACUUUCUGGACGAAAACUGACGCUGAGGCGCGAAAGCCAGGGGAGCGAACGGGAUUAGAAACCCCGGUAGUCC